GAUGAAGAACGCAGCGAAAUGCGAUAACUAAUGUGAAUUGCAGAAUUCAGUGAAUCAUCGAGUCUUUGAACGCACAUUGCGCCCCCUGGAAUUCCGGGGGGCAUGCCUGUCCGAGCGUCAUUGCUGCCCUCAAGCACGGCUUGUGUGUUGGGCUCCGUCCCCCCGGGGACGGGCCCGAAAGGCAGCGGCGGCACCGAGUCCGGUCCUCGAGCGUAUGGGGCUUUGUCACCCGCUCUGUAGGCCCGGCCGGCGCCAGCCGACAACCCAUCAUCCUUUUCAGGUUGACCUCGGAUCAGGUAGGGAUACCCGCUGAACUUAAGCAUAUCAAUAAGCGGAGGA
rnacentral:misc_RNA from 1 species